AUAAUUUAAUGGUAGAAUAAUUUCUUGAUGAGGAAGCUGUAGAAGUUCAAAUCUUCUU
rnacentral:tRNA from 1 species